AGGAGAUGAAAAGUAACUGGGGUAGAGAAUUUCAUGCUCUCUUCCAUCCCAAUGGCAGAGAUUGAACCAGGGACCAAUGUAUACCCAAAUGGUUCUCCUUGGUUCUUUGUCUUAAUUGUGAUACUAUGUGUAUUAUUUCUUUGUCACUUAUACUGUUUUGUCCCUUGAGAUAGACCCUUACAUUGAAAAUUUCUUGCUCCAAUUCAGGCCUGCUCUCCACAUAAUACCACUUUUGAGGACAAAGAUGGCAAUGGGAUAAAAACGGGCCAUCUGAAAGAGCCAGUGAGUCCUAUGGAGUCAUUAAGGACAGAAGUUCUUAGUGGAAAGGAAGAUGGGACCAGAAAAGAACCCUCGAUACUCGUGAGAAUAACGAGAGCGUUCCGGGAUUCCAAGGCUGAGAUCUGCGCUCCUGGGCCAUCAGUUUGAGAAUAACUGCAUCUGUAAUGAGUCACCUGCCGCAAUGGGUCACAAUCAGGAGUGAGAUUUUGAGACCUCCCAUUAUCUAUGUUUACUGGGG